CCUACGGGAGGCAGCAGUAGGGAAUCUUCCACAAUGGGCGAAAGCCUGAUGGAGCAACGCCGCGUGAGUGAUGAAGGCCUUCGGGUUGUAAAACUCUGUCAUUCGGGACGAACCGGAGUCUGAGGAAAUGCAGACUCUCUGACGGUACCGGAGGAGGAAGCCCCGGCUAACUACGUGCCAGCAGCCGCGGUAAUACGUAGGGGGCAAGCGUUGUCCGGAUUCACUGGGCGUAAAGCGCGCGCAGGCGGUGAUGUAAGUCUGAGGUGAAAACCCGAAGCUCAACUUCGGGACUGCCUUGGAUACUGCGUCACUUGAGGAUAGGAGAGGCAAGGGGAAUUCCACGUGUAGCGGUGAAAUGCGUAGAGAUGUGGAGGAACACCUGUGGCGAAGGCGCCUUGCUGGCCUAUUUCUGACGCUGAGGCGCGAAAGCGUGGGGAGCAAACAGGAUUAGAUACCCUGGUAGUCCACGCUGUAAACGAUGAGUGCUAGGUGUAGGUGGGCUCAUACCCAUCUGUGCCGAAGCUAACGCAUUAAGCACUCCGCCCUGGGGAGUACGGUCGCGAGACUGAAACUCAAAGUAGUAGUUAGGCGUUGNGGAGUUGCGACGACGGCACGACGGGAGGGAGU
rnacentral:rRNA from 1 species